rnacentral:rRNA from 1 species
NNNNNNNNNNGGAUUCCCCUAGUAACGGCRAGUGAAGCGGGAAGAGCUCAAAUUUGGAAUCUGGCUGUCUGGCAGUCCGAGUUGUAAUUUAAAGAAGUGCUUUCCGCGCCGGACCUCGUAUGAGUCUGCUGGAAUGUAGCGUCAAAGAGGGUGAGAACCCCGUUCAUGAUGAGACUCCCGGUGCUUUGUGUCACACUUKCAACGAGUCGAGUUGUUUGGGAAUGCAGCUCAAAUUGGGUGGUAAAUUCCAUCUAAAGCUAAAUAUUGGCGGGAGACCGAUAGCGAACAAGUACCGUGAGGGAAAGAUGAAAAGCACUUUGGAAAGAGAGUCAAACAGUACGUGAAAUUGUUGAAAGGGAAACGCUUGAAGUCAGACAUGCUUGCGGGGUUCAGCCUYCGGGUGUAUUCCUYCGCUUUGCAGGCUAGCAUCAGUUUUGUGGACCGGAUAAGGGUUUGGGGAAGGUGGCAUCUCCGGGUGUGUUAUAGCCCCUUGCUUGAUACGGUCUGUGGGACUGAGGAUCGCAGCGCGCCCUUGUGGCAUUGGCUUUGGCCUUUUCGCGCUUAGGAUGCUGGCUUAAUGGCUUUAAACGACCCGUCUUGAAACACGGACCAAGGAGUCUAACAUGCUUGCGAGUGUUUGGGUGUCAAACCCGAACGCGUAAUGAAAGUGAAUGCAGGUGGGAUCCGCAAGGUGCACCAUCGACCGAUCUGGAUUUUCUAUGAUGGAUUUGAGUAAGAGCAAGUAUGUUGGGACCCGAAAGAUGGUGAACUAUGCCUGAAUAGGGCGAAGCCAGAGGAAACUCUGGUGGAGGCUCGUAGCGGUUCUGACGUGCAAAUCGAUCGUCAAAUUUGGGUAUAGGGGCGAAAGACUAAUCGAACCNNNNNNNNNNNNNNNNNNNNN